rnacentral:snRNA from 1 species
AGUCAUGUGAUAAACACAUAGCAAAUUAUUCUUUCACCUUUUACUAAAGAAUACCGUGUGUUUGUCAUCUUAAGUGACAUACGCUUGUUUUUUAAUGAGUUCCUCUUGAAGAACUUU